rnacentral:lncRNA from 1 species
UGGUUUAUUCCAAUUAGAUUGGUAUAGAAUAAGUAAAACGACAAUUAUAGCAGACUAUAGGUGGUGCUCUUUCAUUUUGGAAAUCUAUAGCAUCAACUCUCUUUACAGUCUUAAUUGCCUCUUUAAAUAUUUGUGGAUCCUUUAAUUCUAUCUCUUGCUAGAUGUCACGGACCAAAAAUACAAACAAGAAAUCUAAACAAGAAGUUCAAGAAGAAAUGAUAAGAACUAGAUUAUCAGAUGAGUAUUAGAGCAACGCCAAGAGAAUUGAGCUAGAGCUUCAAGAGAUGCGUUGUCGAGACUGAAGAACUCUUCAGCCUCGAUUCCUAUAUAUACUACUGGCCUAUGGUUCUAAG